AUACGGAGGAUCCGAGCGUUAUCCGGAUUUAUUGGGUUUAAAGGGUGCGUAGGUGGUUUGAUAAGUCAGCGGUGAAAGUUUGCAGCUUAACUGUAAAAAUGCCGUUGAAACUGCCGGACUUGAGUGUAAAUGAGGUAGGCGGAAUGCGUGGUGUAGCGGUGAAAUGCAUAGAUAUCACGCAGAACUCCGAUUGCGAAGGCAGCUUACUAAGCUACAACUGACACUGAAGCACGAAAGCGUGGGGAUCAAACAGGAUUAGAUACCCUGGUAGUCCACGCAGUAAACGAUGAUUACUAGCUGUUUGCGAUACACAGUAAGCGGCACAGCGAAAGCGUUAAGUAAUCCACCUGGGGAGUACGCCGGCAACGGUGAAACUCAAAGGAAUUGACGGGG
rnacentral:rRNA from 1 species